GUGGGGAAUUUUGGACAAUGGGCGCAAGCCUGAUCCAGCAAUGCCGCGUGCAGGAAGAAGGCCUUCGGGUUGUAAACUGCUUUUGUACGGAACGAAACGGUCCUGGUUAAUACCUGGGGCUAAUGACGGUACCGUAAGAAUAAGCACCGGCUAACUACGUGCCAGCAGCCGCGGUAAUACGUAGGGUGCAAGCGUUAAUCGGAAUUACUGGGCGUAAAGCGUGCGCAGGCGGUGAUGUAAGACAGAUGUGAAAUCCCCGGGCUCAACCUGGGAACUGCAUUUGUGACUGCAUUGCUGGAGUGCGGCAGAGGGGGAUGGAAUUCCGCGUGUAGCAGUGAAAUGCGUAGAUAUGCGGAGGAACACCGAUGGCGAAGGCAAUCCCCUGGGCCUGCACUGACGCUCAUGCACGAAAGCGUGGGGAGCAAACAGGAUUAGAAACCCUGGUAGUCC
rnacentral:rRNA from 1 species